rnacentral:rRNA from 1 species
UACGUAGGAGGCGAGCGUUGUCCGGAAUUACUGGGCGUAAAGCGCGCGUAGGCGGUCGGUUGCGUAGGCGGUGAAAGCCCCCGGCUCACCCGGGGGAGGUCCGUCUAAACGAGCCGACUAGAGGGCGGUAGGGGCUGGCGGAACGCCCGGAGUAGCGGUGAAAUGCGUUGAGAUCGGGCAGAACACCGGCGGCGAAGGCGGCUCACUGGCCAUAUAUUGACACUGAAGCACGAAAGCGUGGGGAGCAAACAGG